rnacentral:rRNA from 1 species
GACGAACGUUGGCGGCGUGCUUAACACAUGCAAGUCGAACGGAAAGGCCCUGCUUUUGUGGGGUGCUCGAGUGGCGAACGGGUGAGUAACACGUGAGUAACCUGCCCUUGACUUUGGGACAACUUCAGGAAACUGGGGCUAAUACCGGAUAGGAGCUCCUGCUGCAUGGUGGGGGUUGGAAAGUUUCGGCGGUUGGGGAUGGACUCGCGGCUUAUCAGCUUGUUGGUGGGGUAGUGGCUUACCAAGGCUUUGACGGGUAGCCGGCCUGAGAGGGUGACCGGCCACAUUGGGACUGAGAUACGGCCCAGACUCCUACGGGAGGCAGCAGUGGGGAAUAUUGCACAAUGGGCGGAAGCCUGAUGCAGCAACGCCGCGUGCGGGAUGACGGCCUUCGGGUUGUAAACCGCUUUCGCCUGUGACGAAGCGUGAGUGACGGUAAUGGGUAAAGAAGCACCGGCUAACUACGUGCCAGCAGCCGCGGUGAUACGUAGGGUGCGAGCGUUGUCCGGAUUUAUUGGGCGUAAAGGGCUCGUAGGUGGUUGAUCGCGUCGGAAGUGUAAUCUUGGGGCUUAACCCUGAGCGUGCUUUCGAUACGGGUUGACUUGAGGAAGGUAGGGGAGAAUGGAAUUCCUGGUGGAGCGGUGGAAUGCGCAGAUAUCAGGAGGAACACCAGUGGCGAAGGCGGUUCUCUGGGCCUUUCCUGACGCUGAGGAGCGAAAGCGUGGGGAGCGAACAGGCUUAGAUACCCUGGUAGUCCACGCUGUAAACGGUGGGUACUAGGUGUGGGGUCCAUUCCACGGGUUCCGUGCCGUAGCUAACGCUUUAAGUACCCCGCCUGGGGAGUACGGCCGCAAGGCUAAAACUCAAAGGAAUUGACGGGGCCCCGCACAAGCGGCGGAGCAUGCGGAUUAAUUCGAUGCAACGCGUAGAACCUUACCUGGGUUUGACAUGGAUCGGGAGUGCUCAGAGAUGGGUGUGCCUCUUUUGGGGUCGGUUCACAGGUGGUGCAUGCCUGUCGUCAGCUCGUGUCGUGAGAUGUUGGGUUAAGUCCCGCAACGAGCGCAACCCUUGUUCACUGUUGCCAGCACGUUAUGGUGGGGACUCAGUGGAGACCGCCGGGGUCAACUCGGAGGAAGGUGGGGAUGACGUCAAGUCAUCAUGCCCCUUAUGUCCAGGGCUUCACGCAUGCUACAAUGGCUGGUACAGAGAGUGGCGAGCCUGUGAGGGUGAGCGAAUCUCGGAAAGCCGGUCUCAGUUCGGAUUGGGGUCUGCAACUCGACCUCAUGAAGUCGGAGUCGCUAGUAAUCGCAGAUCAGCAACGCUGCGGUGAAUACGUUCCCGGGGCU